GGUGAGGAGCAGGUUUGCUUGGUCUGCACAGCUCUGCCUGGAGGGUCAGCACAGAAAUACCCAGCUCUACAGGCAGAGGACCGAGAAGCACUGCAGCGAGAGCUUUAAAGACAGGCUGGAAACAGCCUCAGGUGGACUCUAGCAGAAGAGAAGGCAGAAUCCCCACCACUACCAUCACCACCCUGGAGAAAGAAGCAGAGGCCCCACCAUCAGCAUCAUUCUGCUUGGAAGUGAAGGACUUAGGAGCCAGGAUGCCUGCAGUCCUCCGGGCAAUGGAGGGGACUUCUUGACUGAAACAACCUUCUGGAGGGAAGAAGAAAAAAAGGAGAGGAGCGGCUCAAACUUUGAAUCAACAGCAAACAAGUCUGAUGGAGGAUUGGUAAGAAGCUGUUUAGGAGCAUCAGCUAAUAGAUUGUGUGGCAGUACAGAAGGAUGCUGCUCAUACCGUUGUGAUCUGUUACCAUCAUCAACAAGUCCCCUGGGUGUGAGUGAUCUGCCUUGGUUACCUAAGAUAAUUAUUAACAGAUCUUUGCUCUUUUUGUCUUCCCUAGGAAGCACAGAAGAAUAAGUAGCAUGUCCAAAGUCUGGAUGUUAUUAACUGUGUUGCUUAGUGUUUUGUUUUCUGCUGUUCUUUUGCUUUCUUAUCAUUUGUACAUAUGUGAAGGGGAAAAUAGAAACUUUUUUACUUGUUGGGAUUUUUAAGGUCAGUUGCUGAAGUUCAAACGAGAAGAAAACUGUAAGCAAACUGUGGUGACAAGGGAAAAAAUUAUCCACUUUAAAGAGGUCACCACCUCCAAACAUCCUCUCUUGAUGAGGAUGGACAUACCCUCCUCUUAUCAAUAGUGAUGCUUUUAUGUUAUCAAUUCUGUUAUCAGUCUUUUCUGUUAUCAAUAGUGAUUCAUCAGCAAUUCAUCCUGAUGAUCACUGUUACCAGUGGUGAUCACUUGCACAUGAUGCAGUGCCUGUACAUGCAACACAGCAAACUGGGACUCUGGAUCUGCAAAACAGGGCAGUUUGAGUACUCUCAGAAGCAAAGGCGAACAAAUGAAGUGCAAAGAUGUCUGGUCCAUUAGCUUUUCUGUACAGUAGAUAUUCUCUACAAAUAGAAAACUGUUGUAUUUUUAAGGUAUCUAUUGUUAGUGCAGCUUUGCAAUGCUAAGGCAAAUGUGUAGUGCAGCUUUGAGUACAAUUUAGAGCACCUGUGUAUAAAUUCAUAGUUUUGGGAUGAGCAGAAAACUGAAGGUCCCCAGUGAUGGAGAUAUCAAGAUAGAACAUACUCAUAUGAUAUGUAAUCCUCUCUAUUGGUCUGAUGAGGUGGUUUGUUUCAUGAUGGAGGAGAGAAUGAAGUGAUUUUAGAAACUUACCACAGGAUGGUCCUGGAGAUGAGAGGUGUCUGCCAGCGAGGAUGGGCAGCCCAGCAAGAUGGAGUGCUCCCAGCUGCACCCCUGGAAGGACACCAGCAAGCAGGAGGCACCGAAACGUGCAGAUUGCACACUGAAAAAAGAUCAGUUUUCAGUCACAUUAGAACAGAGUUUAGCCAGAUGUGAAUAUGAAGUGUCUCCUUUGCUUUGGGCCUGUAACCCAGGGUGGGGUCCAGCUGUGUUUGUGUGCAGACCCUGCACCUCUGUCUGUCUUAUAAUGUAUGUGCAUGGAGUGUAACCUUUAAAGUAUGGUUUGAAUUACACAACACUUUCAGGAGAGACACUAAAACCACUAGAAACCUUAAAACUGUAUACUAAACAAAACCUAGUAACAUUUGGUUUAGGUUUUGAGCAGUUGCUGCAAACAACAGAGCAUCCCCUUGCAACUUUUGUAGUUCCACAGGCAGUAAAACAAGCCACCAAAGCAAGGUUUGCAGUAGGUGAGCAAGUUGCUCUUACUCCAACAUCAGUAAAAGGUGCUGAGCAUCAUUCUUGGUGUCAAUCCCUCUCAACAG